GUAAGAGUUGAGCUACCGCGGAGGACAGUGGGUUGGGUUAUCAUGGUAAGAGUUUAGCUACCGGCUUGGACAGUGGGUUGGGUUAUCAUGGUAAGAGUUUAGCUACCUUGAGGACAGUAGGCUGGGUUAUCAUGGUAAGAGUUGAACUACCGGCGAGGACAGUGGGUUGGGUUAUCAAGGUAAGAGUUGAGCUACCGGCGAGGACAGUGGGUUGGGUUAUCAAGGUAAGAGUUGAGCUACCUUGAGGACAGUAGGGGCACAGCACUGGUAUGAGAAGAGAUGUAAUACAGACAUGCAGCAGAACAGACUAGCUAUGGCUGGGCUACAUCUCAAUGACC
rnacentral:lncRNA from 1 species